rnacentral:lncRNA from 1 species
GAAUACAACAACUAGAAUCAAGUGACAUCACAAGGCAGCAGAACACUAUGAAACAAAACAAAACUAAAAGAAUGAAAAAAUUGAGGAAAAUGUGAAGCAUCUCAUUCACAAAACAGACGAUUUAGAAAAUCGUUCAAGAAGAGACAAUUUAAGAAUAAUUGGACUACCAAAAGACCACGACAAAAGAAAAAGCCUGGACAUAAUACUAGAGGAAAUUAUCCAGGAAAACUGUCCCGAGAUCCUAGAACAAAAGGGGAAAGUGGAGAUUGAAAGAAUCCACAGAUGACUCCCUGUAUUUAAUCCCCAACUGACAACACCAAGAAAUGUUAUAGCCAAAUUCAAAAACAAUCAGAUGAAAGAACAGGUAUUACAAGCUGCCAAGAAGAAACCAUUCAGAUGCCAUGGAAACAAGGUGAGGUUAACACAGGAUCUGGCUGCAUCCACACUGAAGGGCCGAAAGGCAUGGAAUACAAUAUUCCGGGAAGCAAGGGAACUAGGACUACAACCAAGAAUAAAAUACCAUCAAACAUGACUAUAUUCUUACAGGGGAAAGUAUGGUCAUUCAACACAACAGAAGAGUUCCAAGCAUUCACAAAUGAAAGACCAGACCUGAACAGAAAAUUUGAUGUCCAACCACAGAACUCAAGAGAAUCAUCAAAAGGAAUAAUAAAGUGGAGGAAUUACAUGGAGACUGGAACAACCUCCAGGAAGUGAUGCAGAGCCGAAGGAGAAGAACCAGGAAAUCUUUAUACACAGAGACUGAUACACUGUGGUACAAUCGAAGGUAAUGGACUUCUCCAUUAGGGUCAAUGCAAUGUCCAUGAACAAUCUGCAGUGUUCUAAAAAACACUAUCCACAAGCAGAGGAUAAACUGUGGGAGUAAAAACACGGAUGAAAAGCAACUGCUUGACUACAGCGGUGGAGGGGACAUGAUUGAGGAGAGACUCUAAAU